rnacentral:rRNA from 1 species
CGAACGAACCCUUCGGGGUUAGUGGCGCACGGGUGCGUAACGCGUGGGAACCUGCCUUUAGGUUCGGAAUAACAGUUAGAAAUGACUGCUAAUACCGGAUAAUGUCUUCGGACCAAAGAUUUAUCGCCUUUAGAUGGGCCCGCGUUAGAUUAGGUAGUUGGUGGGGUAAUGGCCUACCAAGCCGACGAUCUAUAGCUGGUCUGAGAGGAUGAUCAGCCACACUGGGACUGAGACACGGCCCAGACUCCUACGGGAGGCAGCAGUGGGGAAUAUUGGACAAUGGGCGAAAGCCUGAUCCAGCAAUGCCGCGUGAGUGAUGAAGGCCUUAGGGUUGUAAAGCUCUUUUACCAGGGAUGAUAAUGACAGUACCUGGAGAAUAAGCUCCGGCUAACUCCGUGCCAGCAGCCGCGGUAAUACGGAGGGAGCUAGCGUUGUUCGGAAUUACUGGGCGUAAAGCGCGCGUAGGCGGCUAUUCAAGUCAGGGGGGAAAUCCCGGGGCUCAACCCCGGAACUGCCCUUGAAACUGGAUGGCUAGAAUCCUGGAGAGGCGAGUGGAAUUCCGAGUGUACAGGUGA